rnacentral:rRNA from 1 species
GACGAACGCUGGCGGCGUGCUUAACACAUGCAAGUCGAGCGGAAAGGCCCUGCUUUUGUGGGGUGCUCGAGUGGCGAACGGGUGAGUAACACGUGAGUAACCUGCCCUUGACUUUGGGAUAACUUCAGGAAACUGGGGCUAAUACCGGAUAGGAGCUCCUGCUGCAUGGUGGGGGUUGGAAAGUUUCGGCGGUUGGGGAUGGACUCGCGGCUUAUCAGCUUGUUGGUGGGGUAGUGGCUUACCAAGGCUUUGACGGGUAGCCGGCCUGAGAGGGUGACCGGCCACAUUGGGACUGAGAUACGGCCCAGACUCCUGCGGGAGGCAGCAGUGGGGAAUAUUGCACGAUGGGCGGAAGCCUGAUGCAGCAACGCCGCGUGCGGGAUGACGGCCUUCGGGUUGUAAACCGCUUUCGCCUGUGACGAAGCGUGAGUGACGGUAAUGGGUAAAGAAGCACCGGCUAACUACGUG